rnacentral:miRNA from 1 species
AAGGAUUGGGGGAUUGGGUGCCUUCUUUUUAAAAAAAAAAAACAAAACACCGUUUCCUCCAG